CUGGGCAUCCAGGUGUUUCCUUACAUCUUCUGAAAUCUAGGCGGAGGUUCCCUAACCUAAAUUCUUGAUUUCUGUGCACCCACAGGCCCAACACCACGUGGAAGCUGCCAAGGCUUGGGGUUUGCACCAUCUGAAGCCAUGGCCUGAACUCUAUGUUAGCCCCUUUCCACCAUAGCUGGAGCUGCUUGGACACAGAGCACCAAGUCCCUAGGCUGCACACAGGUGUUCCUUGUUCUGAAGAGGAGAAACAGUAAAAAAUUUGCCAAGGACCCAAGAUAGAAGACUGUGGGCCCAGAUCCUAAUGUAAAAGAAGCCUGCCUCAACUUAAUUUUCCUGGACAGCAAGAGCUAUGAAAAUGAACUGGGUGAAUAUUGGUGUUUUCAGCUUGAGGUUCCAAUGAAUUAGGACAAUCAGAAGGAAGAGUUUAAUUUUGGGGUCUAGCAUGAGACCAUUCAGUUCAAACUUUCAUUUCACAGUUAGGAAACUAGACCCAGAGAGGCACAGUGCUUCGGCUUGAUGCUAAUAGACUGAUUUUGGAAGGCAGUUGAGCUGGAAGACACAGAUCUGGGGGCUGUCAGCCAAGGGCUGAGAAGGAUGUGAAUUAAGAAGGUGGGAAGGGAAUUGAUGGUUAAGGCCUGAGUCUUGAGAGAAACCCAUGGCCAGGAGCAGAGGAGUUAAGAUUCAUUCAGAAAUGCUCCUACAGACGUGGGAGAACAAGGAUUGUUCAGUAUAAUGGAAGCCAAAGGAGAGGGUUUUGAGGAGCAAAAGACUAGCCAACAGUAGCAAUUGUGUCAAGGUGAUCAAGGAAUAAGAUGUAAACAAUUGUUGGAUUUAUAAUAUGAUUUUAAAAGUGCAGUUUCAGUAAAGUGGUAAGAAUGGGAGGACAAUCAAAUGGCACGUGGUGUGUGUGUGUGUGUGUGGAGGUUGUGGUGUGUGUGGGGGGGGAUGUAUGUGUGGAGAGUGUGGCAUGAGAUGCAUGUGCAUAUGUAUGUUUAGGAUGAGGUGUGUGUGGAGAGUGAGAUGUGUGUGUGUAGGAUAUGAGGUGUGUGAGCUGUGUGUGUGUGUGUGUGAUGUGUGUGUAGGGUGCAGUGUUGUGGUAUAUGUGUAUGUGUACAUGGUGUGGGGGGUGCAGGGUGUGUGUGUAUGUAGGAUGCGGUGUGUGUGGAGAGUGAGAUGUGUGUGUAGAGUGCAAUGUGUAUGGGGUGUUUGUAGGGUGCGCUGUACAUGUGGGCAGUGUGUGUGUAUUCUGACUGAAUGCUGAGCACUGGUGCUUGAGCUCUCCUGCCCUGCCUGGGAGGUGGUGUGUCUGAGGUGAGGGGAAGGCUGACCCAGCUGAUGGGUCCUGUGAGGCAGAGGUUGAGGAGGGAGCCAGAGAUGAGAACCAACAACAUGCUCCAGGAAGAGGGACAGGCGCAGAAGCAAGGGGACACCAGACUGGAACAGAUGGACUCAUGCAGUUGUUCCUUGAUGGCCUGUUCACAUAUAGCAUUUGCCAUGUCCCACAAAUGCAGAAUUCUGGUGGAACCACAGUGCGUGGAAGUUCCAGGAGACUGAAAGUGGUGCAAGGUUAAGUGUGUUACAUAUGUAAUUGAGUAAUCAGGGGUGCUGACAGCCCGACAGGCCAUGCCUUCCAUUCGAACCAGAGCUUGCUUCACAUAGAAAGAAAGCAAUGGCUUUCUAAGGAAUGUGGACAAGUGAGGAACCCUAUCAUAUCCUUCUUACUCAUUUCUUCCCUGUGUUAACCAACCACUUACGCUGAAAAUGAUGACACAGAAGAAAGGGAAAGACAGGACAACCCAUAGUUCCUUUUCCUUUCAGCCCUUCCUUACUCAUCAGUAAGCUGAAGGUCAAGAGUAUUGAUGGAACAUGCACGUUAUCAAGAAGUAAAAUUAAAACAGUUGAGUUAGUUUUGUGCAGUGUUCCCGCUGCUCUGGUAAGGACAAAAUAUAUACGCAAGUAAGAGCUAGGAAAUAUGAACUGUGUAAUUUCAAUGAUUCCACGUAUGAGUCAAAUGCACUUAUUUUCAUUUACAACUAACACUACACAACAUAAAGAAUAGUAAAAUUCAUACUAAUAAUUAAAUUUUAAAUUUUUCUUUACUUAAAAUGACAUUAAAUAUCAAAUUAAAAACAUCAUGACUAGUAAAAAAAAAUUGUGGAAGAAAGAAAAAGUUUUAUGCUUUGGUGACCCUUAAUGGCCUUAUUUCCCUCUGGUUUUUGAACAAGGAGCUCGAUAUUUUCAUUUUGUACUGGGCCCUGAAAAUUAUGUUACUGGCCCUGGGUGAGAUGGUUGUUUAUAUUUGUAUGACCAGGGUCAAAAAACAGUCUUGGAACCACAGGAGCAGGGAAGAUUCACCAAUAAAUUGAUGAACACAAGUCUUCAUCAUUACCCACACACACUCACUGGCCCCUCAACAUUGGUAACAAUGGCCAUGGGUGGAGAGUUAAGAAGAUGAUAACUCCCAGAAAACUAUGCUUUUUCUGCUGAUAACUCUUCAACAUCUCACCACACCCAAUAUCUCUGCUUUUGUUAACAAACCAUGAACUGCUUCAAGUUGUCAUACCCUUUCUCACUGUCUUUCUUCUGAUUGGAACGGCCUGGUGAGAGCAGGCUGGUGGGAACACACACCUUCCGAAAGGCCCUCACCACAGCAGAUCACUGCUGGCGUCCGAGCUACUUCCUGCUUGUCCUGUUGUGUCCUUCAUCAGUGACCGCACUCUUGGAGUGCUUGCCUCUGGCUCCUGUUUUCCACCCAUUUCUCAGCCUGGUAACUCCUGGUUUCCAGUCUUAGUGGGCCCACUGCUCUGCUCCCACCUCCUGUGAUAGGGUCGGGAGAGCCGCCAACCCCACUUGACUCCUGGACCCCAUCCAGGCUGUGGUAUGUGCCAGCACCAUCUUCCCAAAGGAUGCUGCCCCUCCCUGAGGCUCAUGGUAUAGCUCUUCUCCCAUAUUCAUACCCCCGUCUUGAAGCCUGGCCCACAUAGGGUUUCCAGAAAGCCUUCCCCGAACCACUAAUAGAAACCCUACUAUACUCACACCUUCCUUAAGAGAUACUUCACAAACCCAGUUUUGUGCGGUGCAAAGGGGAUGAAAUCAGAAAUAACAUAGGUUUAAAUCCUGGUUAACUAACUGAUUUUUGAGUCUGUCAAUAAACCUCUCUGUGCCUCAAUUUCCCCAUCUACAAAAACAGGAUUGUGAUACUUACCUCAUAGGAUCAUUGUGAGGAUUAUGAGAAAUAGCACAGGCAAAGCACCUAGGUGCUGCCUGGCAUGUCCCAGCACUCAGUAAAAGCUCCCCCAACACUUUUCUCCCCCUGCUGGGGUUGGGCACCAUGCCUUAUUCAUGCCUUUAUUCCUUGCAGCACCUAGAGUAACAUCUUGUGGCUGGCAGAUGAUCAAUGCCUGUGGAUUGAAUUAAAUUAAAACUUUCCUUGUGUUACACUGUUCUCUCCAUGUCCCCAGUUGUAAUAUCCUCUUAAAAGUAUCAUCGCUUGGCUGGGCACGGUGGCUCAUGCCUGUAAUCCCAGCACUUUGGGAGGCUGAGGCGGGUGGAUUACAAGGUCAGGAGAUCGAGACCAUCCUGGCUAACACGGUGAAACCCCGUCUGUACUAAAAAUACAAAAAAAAAAAAAAAAAUUAGCUGGGCGUGGUGGUGGGCGCCUGUAGUCCCAGCUACUCGGGAGGCUGAGGCAGAAGAAUGGCAUGAACCCGGGAGGGGGAGCUUGCAGUGAGCCGAGAUCGCGCCACUGCACUCCAGCAUGGGCAACAGAGUGAGACUCCGUGUCAAAAACAAACAAAAAAAAGUAUCAUUGCUCAGCUUAUAAGUUCUACUUCAUGUUACUGCAGAUUGUGACCCCCAAAUGAAGUAACUUUUGCUGUUCCUUCUUAUUAAAAAUAAUACAUGCUCAAUAUAUAAAUAAAAAUACAAGCAAAAAGAGUAUUAAAAAGUCUGAUAAUUCUACCCACACAGACAUAGCUAGUAUUAACAUCUCUCCAUUAGCUUUUCAAUGCAAUGCAGCUAUUAUAUCUAUGUGUGUGCAUGUAUACAUGUAUGUAUAAUAUUUUGCUGAGGGAGGAAGGUGGAAAUAGCAUAUUAAGAGAGGGAUGUGGGCUUUAGAAUAGAAAAAAUUCAGCAAGCCUGUGCUCUGUGAGUGUGAAAAUAACCACUGGUGUCUACUUAGAUUCAGUAGGGUGGGAGUCUUGCUGGAAAUGCUUUUUAAAUUUCUAGUGCCAUAAUCUUUCUUUCAUCCAAAGAGGAAAAAAUGAGUCUUUACGUAUUUUUUAAUGUAGCGAUAAUUAUCAUUCAUCAGCAUACUGCACACUCUUUAUUUGGGUGUUUAUUAAGGAUCUAUUUCAUGCCAGACGCUGGAGUUGGCACUAAAAACAAGGAUACGGUUACUGCUCUCAGUGAGUUUUCAGUCUGGUGGGGGACACACAUGAGAAAUAGCACAGGCAAAGCCCCUGGGUGCUGCCUGGCAUGUCCCAGCACUCAAUAAAAGCUCCCCCCAACACUUUUCUC
rnacentral:lncRNA from 1 species